GGGGCGUAGCUCAACUGGGAGAGCGCUUGACUGGCAGUCAAGAGGUCAGGGGUUCGAUUCCCCUCGUCUCC
rnacentral:tRNA from 1 species